AGAGUUUGAUCAUGGCUCAGAGUGAACGCUGGCGGCAGGCCUAAUACAUGCAAGUCGAACGGCAGCACAGCAGAGCUUGCUCUGUGGGUGGCGAGUGGCGGACGGGUGAGGAAUACGUGGGAAUCUGCCCAGUCGUGGGGAUAACGUAGGGAAACUUACGCUAAUACCGCAUGCCGCCCUUCGGGGGGAAAGCCGGGGACCUUCGGGCCUGGCGCGAUUGGAUGAGCCCACGUCGGAUUAGCUAGUUGGCGGGGUAAAGGCCCACCAAGGCGACGAUCCGUAGCUGGUCUGAGAGGAUGAUCAGCCACACUGGAACUGAGACACGGUCCAGACUCCUACGGGAGGCAGCAGUAGGGAAUAUUGGACAAUGGGCGCAAGCCUGAUCCAGCCAUGCCGCGUGAGUGAAGAGGGCCCUCGGGUUGUAAAGCUCUUUUGUCCGGAAAGAAAAGCGCCGGGUUAAUACCCUGGUGUCCUGACGGUACCGGAAGAAUAAGCACCGGCUAACUUCGUG
rnacentral:rRNA from 1 species